rnacentral:rRNA from 1 species
GACGAACGCUGGCGGCGUGCUUAACACAUGCAAGUCGAACGGUGAAGGGGCCUGCUUUUGUGGGCCCUGGAUGAGUGGCGAACGGGUGAGUAACACGUGAGUAACCUGCCCCCUUCUUCUGGAUAACCGCAUGAAAGCGUGGCUAAUACGGGAUAUUCUGGGUCUGUCGCAUGAUGGGUCUGGGAAAGAUUGCGCCUUUGGGUGUUUUUGGUGGGGGAUGGGCUCGCGGCCUAUCAGCUUGUUGGUGGGGUGAUGGCCUACCAAGGCGGUGACGGGUAGCCGGCCUGAGAGGGUGGACGGUCACACUGGGACUGAGACACGGCCCAGACUCCUACGGGAGGCAGCAGUGGGGAAUAUUGCACAAUGGGCGCAAGCCUGAUGCAGCGACGCCGCGUGAGGGAUGGAGGCCUUCGGGUUGUAAACCUCUUUCGCCAGUGAAGCAGGCCUGCUCCUUGUGGGUGGGUUGACGGUAGCUGGAUAAGAAGCGCCGGCUAACUACGUG